UACGAAGGGGGCUAGCGUUGUUCGGAAUUACUGGGCGUAAAGCGCGCGCAGGCGGCUAUCCAAGUCAGUGGUGAAAGCCCGGAGCUCAACUCCGGAAUUGCCAUUGAAACUGUUUAGCUUGAGUACGAGAGAGGUGAGUGGAAUUCCCAGUGUAGAGGUGAAAUUCGUAGAUAUUGGGAAGAACACCGGUGGCGAAGGCGGCUACACUGGCUCGUAACUGACGCUCAAGCGCGACAGCGUGGGGAUCAAAACAGG
rnacentral:rRNA from 1 species